rnacentral:rRNA from 1 species
CCUGGAAUAACCUGCCGAAAGGCUGGCUAAUACCAGAUAAGCCUACGGACUCUUCGGAGUCUGAAGGAAAAGAUGGCCUCUGCAUGCAAGCUAUCACUUUGAGAUGAGCCCGCGGCCCAUCAGCUAGUUGGCGGGGUAACGGCCCACCAAGGCAACGACGGGUAGCUGGUCUGAGAGGACGAUCAGCCACACUGGAACUGAGACACGGUCCAG